rnacentral:lncRNA from 1 species
GGUGUAAAUAAACCUGGUGCCCAGGGUUAAGGUGUAGUUUCGAAGUGUCGCGGAGGGCUGGGCCUGGACUGUGCAAGACGACCCCACCCUCGCAUGCGGAAAGACCCUGGAUCGCCUGUUGCUUUUGAGCUUUGCCAACAUCUUUGCCCCUGCCCCAGGCAUUAUUUCGCCUGAAUCUUAUUCUUUUUCUCCUAUACGGAAAAAUUAGCAUUUAGAAGAUGCUCGGCUGGAUGUCCGAACCACCUGCUCUGCAAGAGUUAAAAAAAAAAACAAACAAAAAAACAAAAAAAAAACAAAAAAACUUUGAUCAUUUGAACAAUGGAAAAUAGCUGCAGUAUAAAUCGGUACCGAAAUCCUGGCUUUGGUUUUGCAUUUGAACAACCACAAUAACAAAACAGUCCCCCUGUUCUGUUGACAAGGCAAUAUUCAUUUAUUGAAUUGGAAGUGUCCGGAAAGUGAAUUGCUAGCUUUGGUUUUCCGUCUAAGUGCAUGUAUAUAUAUAUAUUUCUUAUAGGUGUUUGUAUAUAGUUCCUAUCAACUGUAGCCAUCAUUUGCCACUUAAAACCAGGACAUCGAAGAAUUCAGAGCUGGUUUUCUUUUCUUUUUUCCUUUGAGACAUUCGGUCAUGGCCCAAGCUGACCUUAAACUUGGCAAGUAUACGAGGAUGAUCUUAAACUCCUGAUUCCUGACUUCCAUCUCCAAAGUGCUGGAAUUAAGGACAUGUGCCUGUUCUGAUUAAUUUUUUUUUCUUUAACAAAGAAAUUAGGAAUUUACUUAUUUAAGUAAAAAAUACAGAUAUUAAAAAUAAAUAUGAAUAUAAACAUUACAAUAGUGAAUUGCAGUUCUUGGAUGAAGCUUUGUUUAUGUCAAAGAUUAUUUGUGAAGAGAAGGGACAUAGGCUACGAAACAAAACUAUUUGGGGCAAUAAACAUCUACAUCAUCUCUGAUAUCUGACCUAACUGUCUUCUUCCAGAUAAGCUUUUUAGGAGGGAUCUUUAAGCCUGGAAGACUUGAAGCUCCAGUAACCUUCAAGUUAAGAAUGAAAUAAUACCUGGUCUUUAUGGAAGAGGUUUCCCAACCUUUCUCUAGCCCAGCUACCCGAUGUCUAUGCUGGCAAAUGCAUUGAUCUGUUGCUCUCUUUUGUUCUGUGAUCCUAGAAGCUCAGGUGGCUUCCCUACCGUGAACAUAUCAUCCAAGGCAAGCAUGUCGGUCCGGAGCUCCGUCAUUAAACUACCCCGUGUAAUUACAUCAAGGCCUUUUCGUGAUUCUUUGGGUGCACACCGAAUUGGGAAUUGAGUGGGGGUUUCCCCACUAGGUUCUAUCAGAGUCAAGUAUGAAAGAAAGGUGUUUGUGAAAUAUCCUCCUGUGGAAAGGAAAGCCACUGAGGCCAGGCACAUGUCAGGAGUGUCCCUACAUGGAGGCCCAGAGAGACCAUCAUAAGAAGCUGUGUAACUGAAGUCUAGAUUUCAUUGGAAAGAAGAUGUUGGAGAUGCCAGAGUAAUGGGAUACCUGUCAAGGAGGACUGAUAACAGCAUGUGGAAACAGGCCAAGAGAGAGAAGUAUAUGGCUGUCAAUGAAGCUGGAAGGAGUUGGAGAUCUGAAGACCACUUUGCCAUCAGACGUGGAGAUGCAGAAUUUUUUUGCCCUGAUGUUUUUCUGUCUUGCUUUGGUCCAGUAUUUCCUUACUUUGCUCCUUUUUCUCCCCUUUGGAAUAACAAUGAGUAUUGUAUGCUGCUGAAUGCUGGAAGUACAUGAUUUGCUCUUUGAUUUUGAUUUUACAGAGGUAACAGUUAAAGAGGUUGCCUUGAGUUUCAGAAGAGACCUUGAACUUUGGACUUUUAAGCAGUCUUGAGACUGUGAUAGAGUAUGAGGACAUUUGAAAUUGGCUACCGUCAGAUAUGGCCAGGAAUGUAAUGUGGUGUUUUUAAUGAGAAUGGCCCCCAUAGGCUCAUAGAUUUGAAUCUUUGAUCACCAGGGGGUGGUGCUAUUUGAAAGGAUUAGGAGAUAUGGCUUUGUUGGAGAAAGUAUAUCACUGGGAGUGGGCUUUGAGGUUUCAAAGAAGGCCAAAGAGCUCUCUCUUCCUGAAACCUGUGGAUCAGAUGUAGAGUUCUCAGCUCUUGUCUAGCACCAUGACUGCCUCCAUGCUUCCCACCAUGAAGUCAAUAGACUAUACCUCAGAAACUGUAAGUCAGCCCCAAUUAAAUUCAUAAGGGUUGGUGUGGUCAUGCUCCUUCCUCACAGCAAAAGAACACCGGCUAAGACAAUGUAUAAACCCUUCCUCUUAACUUGGAUUUUUUUGAGAUUUGAUUUAGUUUCUUUAGCAGCCUCGAUGCAUAGCUGAGCUGACGUUAGCUAUGGUUCACGUGCUCACUCUGUGAUGUGUUGUGUUUAUUGGGGUAUCAUGCUCCUGGAAACUUGAUGGUCCUAAGGAUGUUGCUUACUUUCUCCAAUAAUGCCAGGAGCGACCAAAAUUAUGUGAUGGCUUUCCAGGUGAUGAAGUACUUGGAACUUUGUAGAAUAUGCUAAAAAGAACUCUAAAUGUGUUUGCCUAUUUAUAGGCAGAAUACUGACUUUUUUUAAAGCUUAUUUACAUGCGUAUUCCCCCCCCCCCAGCUUUAGAAAAUUGAACUUAAACAGAUCAGAACAAUUUUUUUAUCUUAAAAAUUAUGUGUCAUAAAAAAAGAUUGAUAGGUUAAGCAUUUUCUCAUUAUUUAUUUAAUAUAUGAAGUGUUAUGUAAAUUUUUCAAAUGACAAAAAUAUCUGAUUCUGUAAUUAAACUUUCUGAUUUUCCUUUUUAAGAAACAAGAAAGCCCAAUAUCAGCACUUGGAAGGCUGAACUAGGAAGAUUAGGAGUUCAAGGUCAUCCUCAUAUACUUAGAAAGUUCAAGGUCAGCCUGUGUGGGGCAAGUGCCACUAGACAAAAGAACUGGUAAGGUUGAAACAAGCUCAAAACGUUGCUGAAUCUCAGAAUUGAGAAUAGUAGGCAUAGAAACAGCUCCCUGCCAAGUUCUACCUGUCCUGGAACAGGUGACCAUGACAUUCCACUGAGAGGACCAUGACAAUUAGUCAAGUACAUAAAAACCUGGAGUGCUCCAUGAUAAUAAGGUAUCUGGAUAGGCACCAAGUGUAUACUUCCUGGGUUUCCCUUCCUGGGCAUUCCAUCCUGUAAAAGGUAUUUAAUCCCUGGCUUAUCCUGAGUAAGAUGUGUGCAUUCACAUUCACCAUAAAAUAAAAUAGUUUGGACAAU